AGAGUUUGAUCCUGGCUCAGAGUGAACGCUGGCGGUAGGCCUAACACAUGCAAGUCGAACGGCAGCACAGUAAGAGCUUGCUCUUAUGGGUGGCGAGUGGCGGACGGGUGAGGAAUACAUCGGAAUCUACCUUUUCGUGGGGGAUAACGUAGGGAAACUUACGCUAAUACCGCAUACGACCUUCGGGUGAAAGCAGGGGACCUUCGGGCCUUGCGCGGAUAGAUGAGCCGAUGUCGGAUUAGCUAGUUGGCGGGGUAAAGGCCCACCAAGGCGACGAUCCGUAGCUGGUCUGAGAGGAUGAUCAGCCACACUGGAACUGAGACACGGUCCAGACUCCUACGGGAGGCAGCAGUGGGGAAUAUUGGACAAUGGGCGCAAGCCUGAUCCAGCCAUACCGCGUGGGUGAAGAAGGCCUUCGGGUUGUAAAGCCCUUUUGUUGGGAAAGAAAAGCAAUCGAUUAAUACCCGGUUGUUCUGACGGUACCCAAAGAAUAAGCACCGGCUAACUUCGUG
rnacentral:rRNA from 1 species